rnacentral:rRNA from 1 species
UAACGUGUGGGAAUCUGCCCCUUGCUUCGGAAUAACAGUUAGAAAUGACUGCUAAUACCGGAUGAUGACUUCGGUCCAAAGAUUUAUCGCUGAUAGAUGAGCCCGCGUACGAUUAGCUAGUUGGUGAGGUAAUGGCUCACCAAGGCUACGAUCGUUUGCUGGUCUGAGAGGAUGAUCAGCCACACUGGGACUGAGACACGGCCCAGACUCCUACGGGAGGCAGCCGUGGUGAGUAUUGGACAAUGGGCGAAAGCCUGAUCCAGCAAUGCCGCGUGAGUGAUGAAGGCCUUAGGGUUGU